GGGCCAGAAAUAGUAGCCAACGGCGAACCCGUGCCCCAAAACUUAAAGGAGAGCUUGCACCUUGGAGCCUGACCCGGACAACCGGGCUUCAUUCCUAAAAUCGCCCCACGACACGAUCCGCCCGGACGCUGCUUGCAUGGCCGGGGAGUUUGGUGGGCACCAAACCGCAGCUUCAGACCGGAGCGGCGGGGCGGGCCUCCCCGGUUUCAUUGGCGGACGUUACGCAGCUGCACUGAAAAACCAC
rnacentral:sRNA from 1 species